UGACAACUACAAAGAAAGUUUGAAAAAACAAACUGUGGCCUUGGAAGGGGUAUUACCACCUUUAUAUAUUUACAAUUACUGUUUCAAAGGAAGCAGCUGAACUUACUUGGCCAUUGGUUGAAAAUAUGAAGGCCAGAACAUGCUGCAGUUCCACAUGAGGAAAGUGCAGGGCUGCAGGAUGAUUAACAAGAUGGGAGCAGGAAAAUGCUGAUAUCCUACACAACAAUUAAAAAAUGUUGCUUUUCCUGAUGAAUUAUUGACUUCGUCUUCUAUGCAAAGUGAUUCAGAAAACAAAACUAAAGAUCUCUUGGAACUGCUGGUCGGGAACCACCAAACUAGAAGAUUUAAUAAACCUGUGCUUGUAGCUGCCCUGCAGGCCUUGUGCUCGGACCUCAAACACUAAGAUGAUUGAUCAACAUCCUCUACUGCUUGGUCUGCUUCAGCUUCUCGAUGUGAUGACAGAGCUUUAGCGCAGGGCCCAGCUUCAGACCCAUGUACUUCAUAAUGACGUCACUGCGCAGCAGCAUCAGUGCCUUCCCAUCAAUCUCCUGUAGGGAUAAGAGGAUGUUUUCAGCUUGUUCCACAUGCGGCCCGAGAGUGUGGGGAUCGGCUUCUUGGACAAACCGUAUGACAUCAUCAACCGACCAGGAGGAAGCGCUGUUUCCGGAAGCAUCUUUGUCCUGUUUCAUGUGGUCUGGACCUGUUGUUGAGCUAGCUGCUGCGAAGUAUGAGGGCAAAAGGAAGGAAAAACAAAUGAAGAAUUAUCAGAAAGGAAAGAAAUGAUCCCUGCAAUAAUUUGAUGUUAGGGUGAGCUGUUAACACGGCCUUGAUAUUUGUCUCAAAAUUUGUAAAAAAAAAAUAAAAAUAAAAAUUGGGUUCACAAUAAAAGUAAAA